GGGUUUGUAGCCUAGUGGUUAGAGCGCCGAACUCACGACUUGAAAGCCGGGGGUUCGAUUCCCGAUCCCA
rnacentral:tRNA from 1 species